UAUGGCUCAGGAUUAACGCUGGCGGCAUGCCUAAUACAUGCAAGUCGAAUGGGGAGCUUGCUUCCCAUGGCGAACGGGUGAGUAAUACGUAGGUAACCUACCUUUAGGACGAGGAUAACCUUUGGAAACGAAGGAUAAUACUGGAUAGUAUAGAUUUCCGCAUGGAGAUAUAUUUAAAGAUUUAUCACCUAGAGAGGGGCCUGCGGUGCAUUAGCUAGUUGGCGGGAUAAAAGCCCACCAAGGCGAUGAUGCAUAGCCGGACUGAGAGGUUGUACGGCCACAAUGGAACUGAGAACGGUCCAUACUCCUACGGGAGGCAGCAGUAGGGAAUUUUCGGCAAUGGGCGGAAGCCUGACCGAGCCAAUGCCGCGUGAAUGAUGAAGUAUUUCGGUAUGUAAAGUUCUUUUAUCUAGGAAGAAAAAACAAAUUGACGGUACUAGAUGAAUAAGCUCCGGCUAACUACGUGCCAGCCGCGGC
rnacentral:rRNA from 1 species